CGCUGGGGAUACCCAAAGCUUAUCUGCUCAGAUAAUGGUACCCACUUCGCCAACGCCCACCUUCAAGAGGUGGAAACAUACAUAGGACUCAAACAUAGAUUCGGCUCAGUAUAUCACCCCCAAUCGCAAGGCCUGGUGGAACGAGCAAACCAGACAAUCAAAAAUCAAUUAACAAAAAUACUCAGAAGCAACAGACUGGAGAAAUCUAGGGAGGAGGCAGAAACUCGAACCUUAGGACGCAUGCAGGUGAAUCAGCUGACAGGGAAAGUUAAAGAAAAGACAGCAGGGAAGAAGAUGACCUGGAUAACAGCUCUGCCAUUGGCAUUAAUGGCCAUAAGAUCUUCUCCUUCUAACACCACCCUUCUCAGCCCCCAUGAAUUAGUCACAGGACGUCCCAUGCAAGGACCAUACAGCCCACCAUCCAAAGGACCCCCAUCAGACAGGUUUGAUGAAGUAAUGCAGGAAUACCUGCAAGCACUAACUCAAGCUUCUUUAAAGUUGUAUUCCCAGAUCACAGACCAGAAGCCGUCCGAUCCAGAGGAUCCUUCACCAACGUCGGUGACACCUGGCGAGUGGAUCUGGGUGAAAAAACACCAUCGAAAGACCCUAGAAGACCGGUGGGAGGGGCCAUACAAGGUACUCUUGGCCACACCCUUUUCUGUUUCUGUAGAGGACCGACGUGGGGCCCAGUGGCACCACCUGAGCCGGUGCCGCAAAGCAGAUACUCCUGGCAGAUCGUGGACUGAGACCCUGACCGACCUAGCUGCACUCCAAGCCAAGGACAAACACUCCUCAUCCCAAGACGAUGGGCCACAGCGUGCCCUUGGGAAAGUACCUGGUAGGAUUCCUUCUGGCAGUCCUGUUCCAAGAAGGAGCGGGAGACAACAUCGCCAGCACCAGAUGGGUCCGUGGCCAGGGCAUUGGCUGGACUGCAAUCCCUCAAGUUGGAGUUGGCCGAGAACUCCGGUAUUGGUGACCCAAUAGCUGGAUGGAUGGAGAACCUGUUUGGUAGGUGGAGAGGUAUGAUCCAGUCAGUACUCAUCGCGGGAAUAAUGGCAUUAGCCGUGGUAACUGUUAUCAGCUGCUGUUGUAUUCCCUGCGCACGAGGGCUACUGAAUCGGCUGAUCACCACAGCAGUGGGCGCUACACAAGUGCCAGGCGACAUUCAUGCUUACGUAGGAAUCAGAUAUAAUCAGUUGAACUUGAAUGAGAUACCACCUGAGGAACCCGAACCUAUCCAGUUACAAUAUAUAGAAUAAAAUGCCACCAUUUGUAGCACCUGUGUCUAAGAUAAUCAAUAUCCUGGAUUUACUUGAAUAAUUAAUUAUUGAACCAUCAAGACGAGUUGUGUUUGUUAUAAUAUAGUAUUGUUUGGUUGCGAGUACAACUCGUUAUUUCUGAAUCGCUGCAUUGAUAAUGGUACUGUUGAUCUUCCUUGAGACGAUUGUUUUACAGGCCACCUGUUGCUGACACGACGACGACGGAGAACCUGUGUGGAGGCUCCCAUGGUGUAGGAGUAACCUCUCUGAGAUGAGCCCUUGACAAGGAGGGACGAGUCUUGGGUUCAUGAAUUACAGACCCGACGGCGACAGAAAAAACAAUGACUACAAUAAUAACAUCGCCCAAAACCACCCACA
ensembl:lncRNA